rnacentral:rRNA from 1 species
UGGGGAAUAUUGCGCAAUGGGCGAAAGCCUGACGCAGCGACGCCGCGUGGAGGAUGAAGGUCUUCGGAUUGUAAACUCCUGUCAGGUGGGAAGAAAAGGUUUAUUUUUAAUAGAGAUAGAUUAUGACUGUACCAUCAGAGGAAGCACCGGCUAACUUCGUGCCAGCAGCCGCGGUAAUACGAAGGGUGCAAGCGUUAUUCGGAAUCACUGGGCGUAAAGGGUGCGUAGACGGUAUGUUAAGUUUGUUGUU